CCUUGCCCCAUUAAAUAUAGUAAAAACUCACUGUAUUUUCAGUGCCGCCCUGGCUCUGUCCCUGAUCUGCCUCCUUGGCUGACAUAAUCAGAAUUGAUUAUAUCAGCAAAUCACAAUGAUUUCCCAUAGGAAUUCUGAUGUUCUCUGUCAGGAGGUGGGGGGCGGGGCCAACCACCACCCUGGCCAAUAGCAUAUCCUCAUAGAGAUGCAUUGAAUUAAUGCAUCUCUAUGGGUAAAGUUCAGCAUCUCCAUGCAGAGCAUCUGAGUGGCCCCCACUGGAGGUGUCCCUAGGCUGUAAUGUAAACACUGCCCUUUCUCUGAAAAGACAGUGUUUACUGCAAAAAAGCCUGCAGGGUUGAUUAUACUCACCAGAACAUCUACAAUAAGCUGACUACACUGUCCCAUUAAAAAAAAAUGUUUAGAUUGUCAGUCUCACAUUACUGUUUUUUUUGGGUUUUUUUCACCAAAUCAUAGUGGUUCUAAAAUGUGACUGUUAAUUUUUUUUAACUUUUGUUUUGAGUUAAUCUUUUAAGCUACUCUGCCUUUGGUCACAUCAGUUUAAAAUGUACUGAACAAAAUGUGUGGGAUUAGUUGGCGUUAUUUAAAUGGAAAACAAAUUUAAAAACCAAAAACACAAGUUCCUUCACUGCACAUCUAACAAAAGUCAAUGUAGCUGCUUCCACCAUCACAUUCAUUGGCAAUACAUGAAUGAAAAUGUGGUGUGCGUGCAAUAUACCUACCUACAUUUCAAUUGUACAGCGCUACGGAAUUUGCUGGCGCUAC